rnacentral:rRNA from 1 species
UACGUAGGUGGCAAGCGUUGUUCGGAAUUACUGGGCGUAAAGGGCUCGUAGGCGGCCAACUAAGUCGGAUGUGAAAUCCCCAGGCUCAACCUGGGAACUGCAUCCGAUACUGGAUGGCUUGAAUUCGGGAGAGGGAUGCAGAAUUCCAGGUGUAGCGGUGAAAUGCGUAGAUAUCUGGAGGAAUACCGGUGGCGAAGGCGGCAUCCUGGACCGACAUUGACGCUGAGGAGCGAAAGCCAGGGGAGCAAAGCGGG